AAUCGGAUCAUUGAUUGGAAGAACUGGACAUUCAUUGAGAAACCAUCCACCACUGGGAGUCUGGGAGUCCUGGUACCAACCAAUGAAAUCCGACUCUCAUACACACCGGCUCAAGGAAUUUGAUCUAAAUGAACUGCCGGCUCUUUCACAUCCUGACGUGUGCAUCAUCGAUGAUGAGGAGCCUGAACAAUGCGCUAGCCAGUCAGGUGGUAUAGCAGCAGCAUCUCCGGUAGUCUUAAUAUCAUAUCAGGAGGCAGCAGACAAAGCACAAGUGGUGGUGAGCUAAAAACUUUUUUCCUUUGGUAUCUGUUUUUUUUUGUUUCUUGGAAGCAUUCAUGACACAAGGGUCAUUUCCUGCACUCUUUAUUAGGAUUGUGAAGCUCACGAAGCUGUUAACUUGUCUAAUCGUGUUGGUGGUGCAACAGACAUUUCUCAUGAGCUGCAAAGCAUAUCAUCUCAAGAAAGUGGCCAGCCUCGUAAUAGCUUAUGGGUCGAUAAGUACCAGCCAAGAAGUGCCUCGGAGGUAUGUGGUAAUACUGAAUCUGUAAAACUAAUGAAUGAAUGGCUGGGGCAAUGGCAUGAGAGAGGCUUUCAGCCAAGCAAAUAUUUUUUGAAUAGAGUGAUGAGGAGAAAUCGCAAGAUGCUGAUUACAACUGUUCUAAAAGUGAUUCUAACUCGGAAAACAUUGGUGCUGAAGACCGCCUGAAAAACGUUCUGUUGAUCGUUGGUCCAGUUGGGGUGUGUGAUAAGUUAUUCUGCCACGAACUUUCAGUUUUUGUUUUCAAUCUACAUUGCUUUCUGCGUUUCAUGCGUGGGACUCUUAUGUUAGUGAUUUUGAUUUGCAGAGUGGGAAAUCUGCAGCUGUUCAUGCAUGUGAAUAAUUCUAUGAGAGU